AUACGGAGGGUGCAAGCGUUAUUCGGAAUCACUGGGCGUAAAGGACGCGUAGGCGGGUUGGCAAGUCAGAUGUGAAAUCCUACAGCUUAACUGUAGAACUGCAUUUGAAACUGCUAACCUAGAGUAUGGGAGGGGGAGAUGGAAUUAGUGGUGUUGGGGCAAAAUCCGUAGAUAUCACUAGGAAUACCGAAAGCGAAGGCGAUCUCCUGGAACAUAACUGACGCUAAGGCGUGAAAGCGUGGGGAGCAAACAGGAUUAGAAACCCCAGUAGUCC
rnacentral:rRNA from 1 species